GCGUCGAUGGUUAAGGGGCAUAAUUAACGCCUCCCAAAUCGCUCCCGAAAUGGCGAUCGCGUUAGUCCCGGGUUCGAGUCCCGGUCGACGCA